rnacentral:rRNA from 1 species
CCUACGGGAGGCAGCAGUGAGGAAUAUUGGACAAUGGACGAGAGUCUGAAGCAGCCAAGUAGCGUGAAGGAUGACUGCCCUAUGGUUUGUAAACUUCUUUUAUAAAGGAAUAAAACGAGGCACGUGUGCCUUUUUGCAUGUACUUUAUGAAUCAGGAUCGACUAACUCGGUGCCAGCAGCCGCGGUAAUGCGGAGGAUCCGAGCGUUAUCCGGAUUGAUUGUGUUUAAAGGGAGCGUAGAUGAGUUGUUAAGUCAGUUGUGAACGUUUGCGUUGCAACCGUAAGAUUGCAAUUGAGACUGGUAGUCUUGAGUACAUUUGAGGUAGGCGGAAUUCGUGGUGUAGCGGUGAAAUGCUUAGAGAUCACGAAGAACCCCGAUUGCGAAGGCAGCUUACUAAACUGUGACUGACAUUGAUGCUCGAAAGUGUGGGUAUCAAACAGGAUUAGAUACCCGAGUAGUC